UUUCCGUAGGUGAACCUGCGGAAGGAUCAUUAUUGUAUAACCGAUGUGCGAGGGCUGUCGCUGACCCGAAAGGUCGUGCACGCCCGAAUGCCCCCACACACAUCUAUCUCACCCCUAUGUGCACCACCGCGUGGGUCCCCUUUGGCUUUUUCGCAGGCGGGCUUACGUCUUCACACAAAUUUUGUAUGCAUUUUAGAAUUUAUUUUUUGUUUUUUCGAUCACCCAACCAAUACAACUUUCAACAAAUGAUCUCUUGGCUCUCGCAUCGACUACAAACGC
rnacentral:misc_RNA from 1 species